rnacentral:rRNA from 1 species
AUGAAGUGGAAGCCGUUCAUGUCCACGUUCGUGCUGAACAAGAUGUGUGAGCUCAUCUCUAGUGGAGUUAGGACUGACAAGGGCUUCAAGGAGGUGCACUUGAACACCGUUGCGAAGCAGGUGUUCGAGUUCUGUGGGCAAGAGGUGUCUGCCACUCAGGUGUACAACCACCUGAGGAAGUGGAGAAUUCGAUGGAUCCAAGUGUCCAAGCUGAGAGACCUUAGCGGUGCCUCAUGGGAUGAGAACACUUACUCCAUAGUUCUAGAGGCAGAGCACUACGCCGGCCAUGUCGCGGACCACCCAAGGGACGCUGAGUUCCUCAACACACCCAUCCAGAACUACAACUAG